rnacentral:tRNA from 1 species
CGGAAUGUAGCUCAGUUGGAAGAGCGCACUACAAACGUGAGGUCGCAGGUUCGAUUCCUGCCUUUCCGA